GGGCGGGGCAGCGGCAGCGCGUUUGCGCCGGAGGGCCUAGCGUCCUGCUGCCGACAUGAUGGAGUUCUGUCCGGGCUUGGCCAAGCAGGGGAAUGGAGACUUGUGGGAGAGAAGGGGCCAGGAUGGAAGAGAAGUCUGCAGAACUUGCUUUUCCUAGAUGUCUCAGUGUACACAGAUCUUGGCACCUGGGCUCCUUGCCAGUGUGGAUUGUGUACAAAUGUCACCACGUCUUCCAAACCCUUUCCCUGAUGACCUGACUUAGAGAUCAGGAGUGACCCGCUGUCUUGGCCAUCCUCUGUCUCUCAUCGUGCUGUAUCUUCGAGAGAGGGAGAGAGAGCGAGCACAGGCAGACAGAAUGGCAGGCAGAGGCAGAAGGAGAAG